UAGCUAGCAUUUCUGUGCUUCAGGUACCGAGUACGAAGCCACACUGAGUAUUUUUCUGCAUUGCAGCAGCGUGUGUCGCAAGAGGAUGCAGCGCCGUGACGUGUCAUAGCGGCUACCUGACAAAGCGAGGAGUGGCGCGACGGCUCAUCGGCGUCAUCGCUUGCGCCGACGCAGUCUGAGCAGCCAAGCGGACUGCGCUCUCCGCGCAGCUUCCCUCCAGAUUGCGUAACUUUUGAACCCGCCGUUACAUUGACCGUUAUUUUUGUCAGGACCAGCCGUUAAGUUCCUGACGCGUAUUCGUUCAUGAACUGCGGAGCGCCAGACUGCCUUCCACAUCUUCUUUGCUCACGCACAUACCUACGUGCAAGAGAGAAGGCGCGUGAGGGUGAAGACACCGAUCAUGUACCCUCUACAGGUGCCAAAUGGGCAGACAAAAACGCCGCCGCCCAAAGGGCCACCACGAAACUCCUGAACUCCAAGAACCCAGUAAGAAGACCUGCUGAAUUAAGGAGCUACAGCCCAGCAGCCUGUUCGAAACCAGGUUUAUCAAGGUCGAUACCUGUAAUGGACGUUACCCGGAG